rnacentral:rRNA from 1 species
UACGUAGGUGGCAAGCGUUGUCCGGAAUUAUUGGGCGUAAAGCGCGCGCAGGCGGUCCUUUAAGUCUGAUGUGAAAACCCACGGCUCAACCGUGGAGGGUCAUUGGAAACUGGGGGACUUGAGUGCAGAAGAGGAAAGCGGAAUUCAACGUGUAGCGGUGAAAUGCGUAGAGAUGUGGAGGAACACCAGUGGCGAAGGCGGCUUUCUGGUCUGUAACUGACGCUGAGGCGCGAAAGCGUGGGGAGCAAACAGG